AGAGCUGGGGACGCUGGGAGCGGAGUGGGGACGAGCUGAGAUCGGUCAGGGUGUACAGGGUGCAGGCUUGAAUUCUUUAGGAAUUGGGCCCGAGAGGGCUAGGAUUUUUGAAGGAUUGGGUGACCGGCACUGGAAGUUGAUUUUCAACUCCGAGGAAGAGAUUCACCGUUCUAAGCUUCUUUCCAGGAAUUGGAGUGAACGGGAUCUUAAUGGGAUUGCGCGUUUACAAUGGUGAAGGGAAACGGAGGGGUCUGAACGCUCCCCGCAGGGCCGCAGUACAGGCGUGUGGAUGUGGAACCCUUUCUGGGACGGCGAAACCAGCUCUUACGCCGCUUCCGCGCGCCAUCACUCCCUACCCUGACCUCGCACAGAAUCUGUUUCAUUAAUCUGCUAUUAAUGUUUUUUCCCCAACUCAUGUUACUAGACGCAGGCGUUUAACUACCAUGUUUUGUUAUUGAAAACUUUUUCUACUUGAAGGCUUUUUUUUUUUUUUGGACGAUUCUGUGUUUAGAUUUUGGCCUGUUCCUCAUUUUAAAAUCUUGCACCCCCAGUAUUGUACUGUACAUUCUGUCCUGCCACAUUUAAUUGAUAUAGAUGUAGUUCUUUAAAUAAUACAGUAGUCGUAAGACAAUGCUUUCAGUCUUUCACUCUUUAUAUUAUAUGAAGUCUUAUUUAUAUUUAACAUUCUUAUUGCCUGCUUAGAGAAGAAAACUGGUUAUCCAUGCUCACCUUCACACCUGUGUUGUCAAAUACUAUAAAAUACUGUAUUUUAUAGGGAUUCAAGUAUUAACCCUCACCAAGUCUUUUUAAGCAUCACUGCUUCAGUUAUUUUCUUGCCUAUAGAUACUGUGAGUUCUGAAAUCCCUUCCUUCUAUUUGCUUAAAUUGUUUAAAAUAGCAACUUAUUUGGUUAUUUCCUCUGUGGAUUGUAGUUGAGUCUGCUAGUGUUGUGUUUGAUUCUCUUUAAUCUCCCCAACGCUUCAAUAUUUGCCAAAUACCUAAAAUUCCAAAAGAAUAGAUAUAUUUAGGAUGUGAGAGCUCAGCUUGAUGUGUAAAUCAGGGAUCAAUUCAUUGCUGAGCAAAGUGUGCAGUAUAAGGGAAAGUAACAGAGUGAGUAUGGUGAUAACUUCUUACAUGGGAAGACUGGUUGAAAGCUCUUUUGAGUACAUUACCAAGAAAUUAGUUAACAGAAGAUUAAGAGAAAAAUUAAUGUUCACAUCUAAAGAAACAUAAAAGUAGAUCAUUUCAAUUAAAAUUAUGUUCAGUUAAUGUUAUCAUAGAAGUUCCUGCACUGGAGUUUCACCUGCAUCAGAUGAGUACCUGUUUGAUCCAGUUUAUCAGGAUAGAAUCCAGAUCAUCUUAUUCUAGGAUACUGGUGUCCAGCCUGCAUAAAAUCACACACAGGCCAGGCGCGGUGGCUCACGCCUGUAAUCCCAGCACUUUGGGAGGCCGAGACGGGCAGAUCACAAGGUCAGGAGAUCGAAACCAUCCUGGCCAACAUGAUGAAACCCCGUCUCUACUAAAAAUACAAAAAAGUAUCCGGGCGUGGUGGCACGUGCCUGUAGUCCCAGCUACUCGGGAGGCUGAGGCAGGAGAAUCGCUUGAACCUGGGAGGCGGAGGUUGCAGGGAGCCGAGAUCACGCCGCUGCUCUCCAGCCUGGCAACAGAACUAGACUCCGUCAAAAAAAGAAAAAAAAAAAUCACGCACAACAAAAGUUAAUGAGAGUGACACAUGGAGAAGGGAAACUGAGUUAAGGCAUUGAUACAGGAAGUUUAAAAAUUUAUUCUUAGGAAACUGAAUUGGGCUGUUGGCAGAGAUCUGAUUUUUAAAGUCACAUGAGUUAACCAGGUUCCUACCUCCUGGAAUUUCUUAAAAUCCAUUUUUGAAAAUCUGAUUUAGCCAUAAUUUUGCUCAUAGUUUGAGACCAUUGCUAUAUACAAAGGGCCAAAAAUAUUUUUGCAUUACAUUCAUAUCAAAUAUCCUAAACUAUCAAUGGUACUAGGGUAUCUUAAUUAUAACAAAGCUAAAACAGCGAAGCUGUUGCUGAAGUUAAGGCUUUGAUGACUACCACCUCUCAGAAAAACAAGUGAUUUUCCAAGGCAUGUGGGGAAAACACAUCAGGAGACCAAGUUAAUUUAUCACUCCACAAAAAUGUCUCCAUGACCUGGACAAAAUUGUUAAAGAAAAAUGAAGCAUUGUUAGCGUAGACUUUAACGUUCCUCUGGCAUGUAAUAUUCACGUAGACUCACUAGUGCAAAGAGAAAGUGCAUGUAUCUAAGUAAAAGUGCCCAUGGGCAUCUUAAAAUGAUUAGGUAGUAAGCCCACAUUCUCAAAAGAGCAGCAGAAGUCAUGGCUAAUAUGGAACCAUCUCUCUGAUUCCAUGGAAGUGGUUUCUUUUUAUUAUUAUUUUUUGAGACAGAGUCUCGCUCUGUCACCCAGGCUGGAGUGCAGUGGCCCGAUCUCGGCUCACUGCAACUUCCUCUUCCCCAAUUCAAGCGAUUCUUCUGCCUCAGCCUCCUGAGUAGCUGGGAUUACAGGCGUGUGCCACCACGCCCGGGUAAUUUUUGUAUUUUUAAUAGAGACGGGGUUUCACCAUGUUGGUCAGGCUGGUCUCAAACUCCUGACCUUGUGAUCUGCCUGCCUCGGCCUCCCAAAGUGCUGGGAUUACAGGUGUCAGCCACCGCACCCGGCCAGAAGUGGUUUCUUCUCAUGUGGAUGCUACAGUGACAGUUCAGGUGACUUGGAAAUUCUUUGUUGUUUGAGAUUCAUAACUCUUACUUGCUAGGAUGUUUGUGGGGACUUUUUAUUUUCUAUUUAUCAAUUAUUUCAUCCUUUGCUAUAUUUGCCUUCUAUUUUUAAUGCUUAAGUUGUCACCAUGGAAAUAAACUGGGUAGAUUGCAUAUUGUUUAGAACCG
rnacentral:lncRNA from 1 species